rnacentral:rRNA from 1 species
AUUGAACGCUGGCGGCAUGCCUUACACAUGCAAGUCGAACGGUAACAGGUUAAGCUGACGAGUGGCGAACGGGUGAGUAAUGUAUCGGAACGUGCCCAGUCGUGGGGGAUAACUGCUCGAAAGAGCAGCUAAUACCGCAUACGACCUGAGGGUGAAAGCGGGGGAUCGCAAGACCUCGCGCGAUUGGAGCGGCCGAUAUCAGAUUAGGUAGUUGGUGAGGUAAAGGCUCACCAAGCCGACGAUCUGUAGCUGGUCUGAGAGGACGACCAGCCACACUGGGACGGCGACACGGCCCAGACUCCUACGGGAGGCAGCAGUGGGGAAUUUUGGACAAUGGGCGCAAGCCUGAUCCAGCCAUGCCGCGUGCGGGAAGAAGGCCUUCGGGUUGUAAACCGCUUUUGUCAGGGAAGAAAAGGUUCUGGCUAAUACCUGGGAUUCAUGACGGUACCUGAAGAAUAAGCACCGGCUAACUACGUGCCAGCAGCCGCCGUAAUAC